rnacentral:rRNA from 1 species
UUACCCGCUGGAACUAAGCAUAUCAAUAAGCGGAGGAAAAGAAACCAACAGGGAUUACCUCAGUAACGGCGAGUGAAGCGGUAACAGCUCAAAUUUGAAAUCUGGCUCUUUCAGGGUCCGAGUUGUAAUUUGUAGAAGAUGCUUCGGGUGUGGCUCCGGUCUAAGUUCCUUGGAACAGGACGUCAUAGAGGGUGAGAAUCCCGUAUGUGACUGGCUGCCUCCGCCCAUGUGAAGCUCUUUCGACGAGUCGAGUUGUUUGGGAAUGCAGCUCAAAAUGGGUGGUAAAUUUCAUCUAAAGCUAAAUAUUGGCCAGAGACCGAUAGCGCACAAGUAGAGUGAUCGAAAGAUGAAAAGCACUUUGGAAAGAGAGUUAAACAGUACGUGAAAUUGUUGAAAGGGAAGCGCUUGCAAUCAGACUUGCACGUUGCCGAUCAUCCGGGGUUCUCUCCGGUGCACUCGGUUGCGUUCAGGCCAGCAUCGGUUUGGGUGGUUGGAUAAAGGCCUUGGGAAUGUAGCUUCUUUCGGGGAGUGUUAUAGCCCUCGGUGCAAUGCAGCCUACCCGGACCGAGGACCGCGCUUCGGCUAGGAUGCUGGCGUAAUGGUUGUAAGCGACCCGUCUUGAAACACGGACCAAGGAGUCUAACAUCUAUGCGAGUAUUUGGGUGUCAAACCCAUAUGCGUAAUGAAAGUGAACGGAGGUGAGAACCCUUAAGGGUGCAUCAUCGACCGGUCCUGAUGUCUUCGGAUGGAUCUGAGUAAGAGCAUAGCUGUUGGGACCCGAAAGAUGGUGAACUAUGCCUGAAUAGGGUGAAGCCAGAGGAAACUCUGGUGGAGGCUCGCAGCGGUUCUGACGUGCAAAUCGAUCGUCAAAUUUGGGUAUAGGGGCGAAAGACUAAUCGAACCAUCUAGUAGCUGGUUCCUGCCGAAGUUCCCCUCAAGGAUA